GCUGAAUACAACAGGUGUAGUAGACCUCACAGUGAAAUGCUGAAUACAACAGAUGUAGUAGACCUCACAGUGAAAUGCUGAAUACAACAGAUGUAGUAGACCUUACAGUGAAAUGCUGAAUACAACAGGUGUAGUAGACCUCACAGUGAAAUGCUGAAUACAACAGGUGUAGUAGACCUCACAGUGAAAUGCUGAAUACAACAGGUGUAGUAGACCUCACAGUGAAAUGCUUACUUACAAGUGCUUAACCAACAGUGCAGUUCAAGAAGAGUUAAGAAAAUAUUUACCAAAUUAACUAAAGUAAAAAAUAAUAAAAAGUAACAUAAUUACUUAACAAUAACGAGGUUAUAUACAGG
ensembl:lncRNA